ACUUCCUGUCACUGUGGGCUGGUUAAUCCCUACUGUCUCUAUGGUAAGAUGACCUCCAACCCUCCCCUCCCCUUAAAUUAUAAAAGUAAUGAAGAAUUUCUUUUUACAGGAUGUUCUUGGGAAAGAUACUAGAGUGCUUGGCCAUUUCCUUCUCCUGCUCAUUUUGCAUAUGAUGAAACUGGGACAAACAGAGUGAGUAUGGGCAAUGAAUUCACUUUCUUGGUCUUCAGUUUCCUCAUUUGUAAAAUGAAGAGGAUGGACUAUGAGCUUUAUCAUAGGAUUGUGGAUUUAUAGCUGGAAUGGACCUUAGAAGUCAUCUAGUUCAUUCUCUACUAGCAGCAAUGCAGUGAUCCAGAACAAUUUGGAGAAACUCAUGAGAAAGAACUCAUGAGAAAGAUUCAGAGGAAGAACUGUGGGAACAGAAAUACAGAAGAAAAACAACUGCUUGAUCACAUGGGUUGAUGGAGAUAUGAUUGGGGAGGUAGACUAAAUGAUCAUCUUAAUGCAAACAUUAAUAAUAUGGAAAUAGGUCUUGAUCAGUGA
rnacentral:lncRNA from 1 species